CAGGCCUAACACAUGCAAGUCGAGCGGAAACGAGUUGUUUGAACCUUCGGGGGACGACAACGGCGUCGAGCGGCGGACGGGUGAGUAAUACCUGGGAAAUUGCCCUGAUGUGGGGGAUAACCAUUGGAAACGAUGGCUAAUACCGCAUGAUAGCUUCGGCUCAAAGAGGGGGACCUUCGGGCCUCUCGCGUCAGGAUAUGCCCAGGUGGGAUUAGCUAGUUGGUGAGGUAAGGGCUCACCAAGGCGACGAUCCCUAGCUGGUCUGAGAGGAUGAUCAGCCACACUGGAACUGAGACACGGUCCAGACUCCUACGGGAGGCAGCAGUGGGGAAUAUUGCACAAUGGGCGCAAGCCUGAUGCAGCCAUGCCGCGUGUAUGAAGAAGGCCUUCGGGUUGUAAAGUACUUUCAGCAGUGAGGAAGAUGGUGUGUUUAAUACGCGCAUCAUUUGACGUUAGCUGCAGAAGAAGCACCGGCUAACUCCGUGCCAGCAGCCGCGGUAAUACGGAGGGUGCGAGCGUUAAUCGGAAUUACUGGGCGUAAAGCGCAUGCAGGUGGUUUGUUAAGUCAGAUGUGAAAGCCCGGGGCUCAACCUCGGAAUAGCAUUUGAAACUGGCAGACUAGAGUACUGUAGAGGGGGGUAGAAUUUCAGGUGUAGCGGUGAAAUGCGUAGAGAUCUGAAGGAAUACCGGUGGCGAAGGCGGCCCCCUGGACAGAUACUGACACUCAGAUGCGAAAGCGUGGGGAGCAAA
rnacentral:rRNA from 1 species